rnacentral:rRNA from 1 species
AACGUAGGACACAAGCGUUAUCCGGAGUUACUGGGCGUAAAGGGCGUGCAGGCGGUUUCUUAAGUCAGGCGUGAAACCACCCGGCUAAACCGGGUGUAGUCGUCUGAGACUGGGAGACUAGAGUGUGGUAGAGGCGUGUAGAAUUCCGGGUGUAGUGGUGAAAUGCGUAGAGAUGUGGAGGAACACCGAUGGCGAAGGCAGCCUUCUGGGCCAACACUGACGCUCAUGCACGAAAGCGUGGGGAGCAAACAGG